rnacentral:ncRNA from 1 species
GGAUAGAGGUGCGGUUGACAUCAGUACCACGGAAGAUAGCCAGGCAGCGGUUUCGUGGAAAAGGGGAUACCGCCGAAAGUGUUCCGUCCUGCCUGGGACGCAGCGCUUGGACCGUCGGAGAACAUCCGGCGGGCUGUCACAGACUGUGGAGCGCUAUCA